CCCUCUUCGGAGGGAGUGGCAGACGGGUGAGUAACGCGUGGGAAACUACCUUUCGGUACGGAACAACAGUUGGAAACGACUGCUAAUACCGUAUACGUCCUUAGGGAGAAAGAUUCAUCGCCGAUAGAGGUGCCCGCGUUGGAUUAGCUUGUUGGUGAGGUAAUGGCUCACCAAGGCGACGGUCCAUAGCUGGUCUGAGAGGAUGAUCAGCCACACUGGGACUUAGACACGGCCCAG
rnacentral:rRNA from 1 species